GUGGGGAAUAUUGGACAAUGGGCGAAAGCCUGAUCCAGCCAUGCCGCGUGUGUGAAGAAGGUCUUCGGAUUGUAAAGCACUUUAAGUUGGGAGGAAGGGCAGUAAGUUAAUACCUUGCUGUUUUGACGUUACCGACAGAAUAAGCACCGGCUAACUUCGUGCCAGCAGCCGCGGUAAUACGAAGGGUGCAAGCGUUAAUCGGAAUUACUGGGCGUAAAGCGCGCGUAGGUGGUUUUGUAAGUUGGAGGUGAAAUCCCCGGUCUCAAACUUGGAACUGCCUCCAAAACUGCAUGACUAGAGUACGGUAGAGGGUAGUGGAAUUUCCUGUGUAGCGGUGAAAUGCGUAGAUAUAGGAAGGAACACCAGUGGCGAAGGCGACUACCUGGACUGAUACUGACACUGAGGUGCGAAAGCGUGGGGAGCAAACAGGAUUAGAUACCCCAGUAGUCC
rnacentral:rRNA from 1 species